UACAGAGGUCUCAAGCGUUUGUUCGGAUUCAUUGGGCGUAAAGGGUGCGUAGGUGGUGCUGUAAGUCAGGUGUGAAAUCUCGGGGCUCAACCCCGAAACUGCACUUGAUACUGCAGUGCUCGAGGACUGGAGAGGAGAUUGGAAUUCAUGGUGUAGCAGUGAAAUGCGUAGAUAUCAUGAGGAAGACCAGUGGCGAAGGCGGAUCUCUGGACAAGUUCCUGGACACUGAGGCACGAAGGCCCAGGGGAGCAAACGGG
rnacentral:rRNA from 1 species